UACGAAGGGGGCUAGCGUUGUUCGGAAUUACUGGGCGUAAAGCGCACGUAGGCGGACAUUUAAGUCAGGGGUGAAAUCCCGGGGCUCAACCCCGGAACUGCCUUUGAUACUGGGUGUCUUGAGUAUGGAAGAGGUCAGUGGAAUUGCGAGUGUAGAGGUGAAAUUCGUAGAUAUUCGCAGGAACACCAGUGGCGAAGGCGGCUGACUGGUCCAUUACUGACGCUGAGGUGCGAAAGCGUGGGGAGCAAACAGG
rnacentral:rRNA from 1 species